rnacentral:tRNA from 1 species
GGAGAGGUGCCCGAGAGGCCGAAGGGAACUCACUGCUAACGAGUCAUAGGUGUUAAAGCCUAUCGCGGGUUCGAAUCCCGCCCUCUCCG